rnacentral:rRNA from 1 species
CUCAGAUUGAACGCUGGCGGCAUGCUUUACACAUGCAAGUCGAACGGUAACAGGUCUUCGGAUGCUGACGAGUGGCGAACGGGUGAGUAAUACAUCGGAACGUGCCUAGUAGUGGGGGAUAACUACUCGAAAGAGUAGCUAAUACCGCAUGAGAUCUACGGAUGAAAGCAGGGGACCUUCGGGCCUUGUGCUACUAGAGCGGCUGAUGGCAGAUUAGGUAGUUGGUGGGGUAAAGGCUUACCAAGCCUGCGAUCUGUAGCUGGUCUGAGAGGACGACCAGCCACACUGGGACUGAGACACGGCCCAGACUCCUACGGGAGGCAGCAGUGGGGAAUUUUGGACAAUGGGCGAAAGCCUGAUCCAGCAAUGCCGCGUGCAGGAUGAAGGCCCUAGGGUUGUAAACUGCUUUUGUACGGAACGAAAAGCUCUGGGCUAAUACCCCGGAGUCAUGACGGUACCGUAAGAAUAAGCACCGGCUAACUACGUGCCAGCAGCCGCGGUAAUACGUAGGGUGCAAGCGUUAAUCGGAAUUACUGGGCGUAAAGCGUGCGCAGGCGGUUUUGUAAGACAGUGGUGAAAUCCCCGGGCUCAACCUGGGAACUGCCAUUGUGACUGCAAAGCUAGAGUGCGGCAGAGGGGGAUGGAAUUCCGCGUGUAGCAGUGAAAUGCGUAGAUAUGCGGAGGAACACCGAUGGCGAAGGCAAUCCCCUGGGCCUGCACU